GGUGGGGGAUUAGUGGCGAACGGGUGAGUAACACGUGGGCAAUCUGCCCUGCACUCUGGGACAAGCCCUGGAAACGGGGUCUAAUACCGGAUAUGACCACCGGCCGCAUGGUCUGGUGGUGGAAAGCUCCGGCGGUGCAGGAUGAGCCCGCGGCCUAUCAGCUUGUUGGUGGGGUGAUGGCCUACCAAGGCGACGACGGGUAGCCGGCCUGAGAGGGCGACCGGCCACACUGGGACUGAGACACGGCCCAGACUCCUACGGGAGGCAGCAGUGGGGAAUAUUGCACAAUGGGCGAAAGCCUGAUGCAGCGACGCCGCGUGAGGGAUGACGGCCUUCGGGUUGUAAACCUCUUUCAGCAGGGAAGAAGCGAGAGUGACGGUACCUGCAGAAGAAGCGCCGGCUAACUACGUGCCAGCAGCCGCGGUAAUACGUAGGGCGCAAGCGUUGUCCGGAAUUAUUGGGCGUAAAGAGCUCGUAGGCGGCUUGUCACGUCGGAUGUGAAAGCCCGGGGCUUAACCCCGGGUCUGCAUUCGAUACGGGCAGGCUAGAGUUCGGUAGGGGAGAUCGGAAUUCCUGGUGUAGCGGUGAAAUGCGCAGAUAUCAGGAGGAACACCGGUGGCGAAGGCGGAUCUCUGGGCCGAUACUGAC
rnacentral:rRNA from 1 species